rnacentral:rRNA from 1 species
GAUGAACGCUGGCGGCGUGCCUAAUACAUGCAAGUCGAGCGAACGGACGAGAAGCUUGCUUUUCUGAUGUUAGCGGCGGACGGGUGAGUAACACGUGGAUAACCUGCCUAUAAGACUGGGAUAACUUCGGGAAACCGGAGCUAAUACCGGAUAAUAUUUUGAACCGCAUGGUUCAAAAGUGAAAGACGGUCUUGCUGUCACUUAUAGAUGGAUCCGCGCUGCAUUAGCUAGUUGGUAAGGUAACGGCUUACCAAGGCAACGAUGCAUAGCCGACCUGAGAGGGUGAUCGGCCACACUGGAACUGAGGCACGGUCCAGACUCCUACGGGAGGCAGCAGUAGGGAAUCUUCCGCAAUGGGCGAAAGCCUGACGGAGCAACGCCGCGUGAGUGAUGAAGGUCUUCGGAUCGUAAAACUCUGUUAUUAGGGAAGAACAUAUGUGUAAGUAACUGUGCACAUCUUGACGGUACCUAAUCAGAAAGCCACGGCUAACUACGUC